AUUGAACGCUGGCGGCAUGCUUUACACAUGCAAGUCGAACGGUAACAGGCCGCAAGGUGCUGACGAGUGGCGAACGGGUGAGUAAUGCAUCGGAACGUGCCCAGUCGUGGGGGAUAACGCAGCGAAAGCUGCGCUAAUACCGCAUACGAUCUAUGGAUGAAAGCGGGGGACCGUAAGGCCUCGCGCGAUUGGAGCGGCCGAUGUCAGAUUAGGUAGUUGGUGGGGUAAAGGCUCACCAAGCCAACGAUCUGUAGCUGGUCUGAGAGGACGACCAGCCACACUGGGACUGAGACACGGCCCAGACGCCUAGGGGGGGCAGCAGUGGGGAAUUUUGGACAAUGGGCGCAAGCCUGAUCCAGCAAUGCCGCGUGCAGGAAGAAGGCCUUCGGGUUGUAAACUGCUUUUGUACGGAACGAAAAGGCUCUGGUUAAUACCUGGGGCUCAUGACGGUACCGUAAGAAUAAGCACCGGCUAACUACGUGCCAGCAGCCGCCGUAAGAC
rnacentral:rRNA from 1 species